GAUGAACGCUGGCGGCGUGCCUAAUACAUGCAAGUCGAGCGAACAGAUGAGAAGCUUGCUUCUCUGAUGUUAGCGGCGGACGGGUGAGUAACACGUGGGUAACCUACCUAUAAGACUGGGAUAACUCCGGGAAACCGGGGCUAAUACCGGCUAAUAUUUUGAACCGCAUGGUUCAAUAGUGAAAGACGGUUUCGGCUGUCACUUAUCGAUGGACCCGCGCAGUAUUAACUAGUUGGUAAGGUAGCGGCUUACCAAGGCGAAGAUCCGUAGCCGACCAGAGAGGGUGAUCGGCCCAACUGGAACUGAGACACGGUCCAGACUCCUACGGGAGGCAGCAGUAGGGAAUCUUCCGCAAUGGGCGAAAGCCUGACGGAGCAACGCCGCGUGAGUGAUGAAGGUCUUCGGAUCGUAAAACUCUGUUGUUAGGGAAGAACAAAUUUGUUAGUAACUGAACAAGUCUUGACGGUACCUAACCAGAAAGCCACGGCUAACUACGUGCCAGCAGCCGCCGUAA
rnacentral:rRNA from 1 species